GGCAAGCUUGACAGUGAAGAAAAGUGUUGUGAUGGUAUUUGUUCAAGAAGGGAUCAGUAAUUGUGAGACAGGAAGGAAGAUGGCAAAUUCAGAAGCAGCCGUCACCUGGGUGGUGGACAGAGGCCGCUCACCCCCAGUCAUCCUGCAGCUCACAGGUCUCUUCUGACCAGGAGAAAGAUGGCGUGGCAAUUAAGUGUUCACCGUGCAUGUGUUCCAUCAACUUAUUAUUCCUGUAUCUGUCUUCCUUUUUUUCCCUUAGCCUUUCUCUCAGGAGUGGCAGCUGUGGCCAGCACUAGUGUAGCCCUGGCCAACUGUGUCACGGCUGUCUUUGAUCUCCCUGUCUUCCUUCCAGCCCCACAGUUACUGACCUCGACUCAAACACCAUCACGGCACUCUCUUCCCUGUUAAACUUGCCGGGAUCCAUUGUAAUGUAAGGGGUAUUGAAUGUGAGCGAUGAAACGAGAAGGUAGUGGCAAAGGGGAAAAAAGUACAGGGGAGCGUAGGAGAGACACCUCUCUCCACUGUGCCUGACAGCGCAGGAGAGACACCUCUCUCCACUGUGCCUGACAGUCUUUCAGUGAUUGAAAGACUGAGCAUAACAUCUUCAGGGCACGUGGUAACACGGAGAGGAAGUGGAAGAAACCUUGGGACGCUCCCAUAACUCAGGAGCAAGAAAUACACCUUACUGGAAACCUUGUGACUGACAGGUGGCGGUGACUGCAGGAACCAAUUCAGAUGUCUGUCUUGUGUUGGCGAACGUCCUGUCUGCAGUCAGGCCAGUAGUGCCAUGUCGCAGGGUGUGACAUCAGGUGAAGAGCCAAAUGGAGAGUGUCUGCAGCCAGUACUGGGUGUGCUGUUGCUGUACAAGUGUCGAGCCAGGUGCCACAGCACAUGACUCCACCAGUGUAGUGUCUCUAGUCCAGGAUGCACUGCUGUGUACGACUUGUAUGUCUUUAUAAAUUUGUGACUAUUCUUAUUAUAUAUGUGAAAUAAAUAUAUAGUUUGCUAACAGUGUGGUAUAAUAGUGUAAAAAUAAAUAUUUGAUAACAAUUCAUGCAUGCCCCAAAGGUAAAAAAAAAAAAACAGGAUUGUGCCCUCUAAACUUUUAAGAUACCACUUGCACAUAGAAGCCCCAUCGCAGCGACUCCAGUGUCGGCUGGGAUGGGGCUUCUAUGUGCAAAUGGUAUCUUAAACUUAGUUUAGUAGCCAAUCCUGACUUUUUUUUUUUUUUUUACCUUGGGGGCAUGACCUGUACUCCCAGAAAGACUUUGCCAAAGAUAUUAUUGACAUGGCAUAAAUAACUAUCAUUGUUUUUUUUUACCUUGAGGGCAUGACCUGUACUCCCAGAAAGACUAUUUGCCAAAGAUAUUAUUGACAUGGCAUAAAUAACUAUCAUUAUGUUCAAGAUGGUAUACUGAAUGUUUAUUGUUUUAAUGUGAAUGUUAAGUGAAUAAAUACACAACAAUAAUAUAAA